AGCAGCCGCGGUAAUUCCAGCUCCAAUAGCGUAUAUUAAAGUUGUUGCAGUUAAAAAGCUCGUAGUUGAAUUUCGGGGUUAGUAGGUUGGUCGUGCCACUGGUAUGUACUGGUUCUACUGAUCCCUCCUUCUUGUAGAACCGUAAUGCCAUUCACUUGGUGUUGCGGGGAAACAGGACUGUUACUUUGAAAAAAUUAGAGUGUUUAAAGCAGGCUAACGCUUGAAUACAUUAGCAUGGAAUAAUGAAAUAGGACGUUCGAUCCUAUUUUGUUGGUUUCUAGGAUUGACGUAAUGAUUAAUAGGGAUAGUUGGGGGCAUUAGUAUUCAAUUGUCAGAGGUGAAAUUCUUGGAUUUAUUGAAGACUAACUACUGCGAAAGCAUUUGCCAAGGAUGUUUUCAUUAAUCAAGAACGAAAGUUAGGGGAUCGAAGACGAUCAGAUACCGUCGUAGUCUUAACCAUAAACCAUGCCGACUAGGGAUCGGAUGAUGUUAAUUUUUAAUGACUCAUUCGGCGCCUUAC
rnacentral:rRNA from 1 species